rnacentral:misc_RNA from 1 species
AACUUUUAGCAAUGGAUCACUUGGCUCUCGCGUCGAUGAAGAGCGUAGCAAACUGCGAAAAGUAGUGUGACUUGCAUAAAUCGCGAACCAUUGAAUUCUUGAACGCAUACUGCACCCCCUGCUUCUGCAGAGGGUCUGUCUGGCUGAGUGUCGACAAGUCAGUCUCAGCACGCCUUGUGUGUGCUGGACCUGGAUGCCCGCGGCCAUCUAUGCCGCGCCGUCUGAAACGCAUUGAAGUAGCAGCAGCUUGCUGUGUGCACGUGACACCUCCGAGUGACCUUGCGCACGGUGGCAGUGCGGCCCACUUGUUGUACCCAUUCUGAAUCGACCUCAGCUCAGGUAGGAAUACCCGCUGAACUUAAGCAUAUCAAUAAGCGGAGGCU